rnacentral:lncRNA from 1 species
AGAUCCAGAGUGAAGCUAAGUCUUCCAAGUCAAAUGGGUGUGUUAGCCAGGUAUCAAGGAAGAGGAGGAGAGAGGGCAGCAAGGAUGAAGGAGAAGCAUGUGCUAAGAUGCGGUGUACCGUCCGUCUGGUCACACCUCUGAACAGUGCUGGAAGAAUGCCAUGCCUGCCUAUCAUGAUGACACCCACUUCUAUUUCAAAAGUUGACCCCAAAUCCUUCUCUGUAGAGAAAAUGAAGUAUUCAGAAGUUAGAUGAUUUGGCCAAAUUUACUGCCUUCAGAGAGAUCUUCCUUGUCCAGCUCUAUUUCCAGACAUCACCUGCUUCCAGAUUCCCAUCCACCAAUGUGGACUUCCGUGUCUCUAGGCACUAGCUGUUCCCAUGCCCUCUUCCCAUUGUUGCCUUACCCCUUCCAUAUAUCACUCUGUUGGCCAGCGUGAGCAUGCUUGAGAACCAUCCCCAGCUCCUGCCUCACCCACUCGGCCAGUCUAGGGCACAGUCCAGACCCAUCACCAUCAGACUGGGCCUCGAGCAGU